rnacentral:lncRNA from 1 species
GACGCGUGAAAUUGAGAAAGAUUAAUGAACUUCGAGAAUCACCGUUGUCCUAGAUGACAUUCUUUUUUAGCUAGAAUAAAUGUCCAAAAAUAAUUUGAAAACCAACAAACACUGAUUAAAAAAAACAUUUGAAUUUAUGAGACACACUCUUAGCAACAAUACUUUGUUUAUGGGAGUUAGAAGAAAAAGUGACUACUAACUAAAAAGAUCCCACCAAUAACAACAUUAUAACGAAACCAUUAGGUUGAAGAGGUACUUGGAAAUGAAUUAGGAUGUCUUCAAACCACCUAGUCAUUACAAAU